rnacentral:rRNA from 1 species
CAGCCGCCACGGUAAUACGUAGGGUGCAAGCGUUAAUCGGAAUUACUGGGCGUAAAGCGUGCGCAGGCGGUUUGUUAAGACAGAUGUGAAAUCCCCGGGCUCAACCUGGGAACUGCAUUUGUGACUGGCAAGCUAGAGUGUGGCAGAGGGGGGUGGAAUUCCGCGUGUAGCAGUGAAAUGCGUAGAUAUGCGGAGGAACACCGAUGGCAAAGGCAGCCCCCUGGGCCAACACUGACGCUCAUGCACGAAAGCGUGGGGAGCAAACAGGAUUAGAUACCCCUGUAGUCCCUGUCUCUUAUAC